rnacentral:rRNA from 1 species
UGGGGAAUUUUGGACAAUGGGGGAAACCCUGAUCCAGCCAUCCCGCGUGUGCGAUGAAGGCCUUCGGGUUGUAAAGCACUUUUGGCAGGAAAGAAACGUCGCGGGUUAAUACCCCGCGAAACUGACGGUACCUGCAGAAUAAGCACCGGCUAACUACGUGCCAGCAGCCGCGGUAAUACGUAGGGUGCAAGCGUUAAUCGGAAUUACUGGGCGUAAAGCGUGCGCAGGCGGUUCGGAAAGAAAGAUGUGAAAUCCCAGAGCCUAACUUUGGAACUGCAUUUUUAACUACCGGGCUAGAGUGUGUCAGAGGGAGGUGGAAUUCCGCGUGUAGCAGUGAAAUGCGUAGAUAUGCGGAGGAACACCGAUGGCGAAGGCAGCCUCCUGGGAUAACACUGACGCUCAUGCACGAAAGCGUGGGGAGCAAACAGGAUUAGAUACCCUGGUAGUCCACGCCCUAAACGAUGUCAACUAGCUGUUGGGGCCUUCGGGCCUUGGUAGCGCAGCUAACGCGUGAAGUUGACCGCCUGGGGAGUACGGUCGCAAGAUUAAAACUCAAAUGAAUUGAC